UAAGGGAUGUUCUUGAACAGAAGAAAAGGUGAAAUUUUCAUAUCAUAUACUGCUUUUCCUAAGCAAAAACAAUAUACAAGUUGCAAAAGGGACAACAACUGCUUUUGUCUUUUAGCUUCACUAACCUAUCUAUUCUAGAAAGGCUUCAACUUCCAAAUCAUCCAGUUGAAUGAUUUACUCUGCUCUUUGUACUGUAGUUUUAAACAAGAGAACGUACAACUUUUGAUCCAUUGAGAAAUACAGAAACCCUCCAACUGAGUGAGUAACGAAGGAUCCAAAACUUGUCCCCACAAUGCAGUGCCAUGCCGGCCCAUAAACCCCAUCAAAUUCCUUCUUAAGAGUGAGUGCAAGGGUCUUGGAGGUGAACUUUUCAAGACUGUCAUGAGUCUUUCUUGCACAAUCAACAGCAUGGAUCUGCAUAAAUGGUGGCAUAUCAACUGAGACAACUUUAGCCCCAUUAUGAGCUAGAAAAUCAGCCAACUCCACUUGUGAGCCACAGAAGGAUCUUCUUCUGCCACCACCUAAUGAAAUUGUCAUCCUCUUAAUAUCAUGCCCUUCAAUUAGAUCCUUAACUUCCUUAUUAUCAUUCUUCUUUUCUUUCACUAGAAUUUCUUGAAAUUUCUUCUUGUCCACCGACCCUAUAGAUGAUACUUUCUUGAUCUUCUCAUUAGAACCUUCCUUUGUUGCUUCGACUCUGCUCUCUUUAUCCGCUAUUGAUUCCAUUUUUUUUGGGUACUGGUGCUUUGGCUUGAUGAUUGAAAGCCUGGAGCCAUCAAAAUCAGCUGAAAGAGUCAAGGAUUUAGCUUGCAAAUGGGUGUCUACACAAGGAGGGGGUGGAUUCUUGGUGGGUUUCUGGGUAAUUGUACUAGGUUUACGAUUUGGGUUGA
rnacentral:misc_RNA from 1 species